GUGUGUGUGUGUGUGUGUGUGUGUGUGUGUGUGUGUGUGUGUGUGUGUGUGUGUCGGAAGAUUUUUGAGCAUCGCUAGGGUUCUACUGUGGGUGGAUGGGUGUGUCACACCUGGCAUGGGGUUCUACGUGUGUGUUUCCGGCUUGCUUUGACAGUGAUAAUGUUCAUACGGGGGUCUGUGAUUGGCUUGGGAUAUUGGAAUGGUCAACUAAAUCAUACCUGAUGGACGGCCACACGUUUACUCAAGGGCCUCCAGUAGACAUGAAGAGCCCUGAGCGACGCUCCGGAGCGAUAUCAACACACUGGGCAGGAAGGAGAGUAUCAAACUCGAGUGUAAAAGGAUGCAAGCGGCGUGUUCAGAUCAGUGACUUCAAACUAGGACUACACCAAUCAGGAUCAAUGGAGGAUGGACCCCAAAAGGAAUUCCACAAGGAGAGUCUGACGUUGGAAAGGGACCUAAAUGGAUAUUCAAGAUGACCUUCAGACCUGUAAUGAGAUGGCUCUUCCUACCUGGCUGGAUUGAUGGAGAGCCCUGUGGAUCUUGUCUUGCUCUCAGUUGCACGUCUUCUCAGGCUGAACUGUAUUUGUUUCGGACAGGACUAGCUGAACGAUUGGUUCCCUUAAAUCCGAACCAAUCCGGGAACUCCAGCUAGUGCGCUCUUCGAGCUGAAGUUGUGUUCUUCAGCUGAGGAGGUAAGGAAACCUUCGCUGGGGCUUCAAGGUGUAAAGAGGAGAAUGUUUCAAAGUGUUCCAUGGUACUCUGAUGAAGACCGUUGUGUUCCACUGGCUGAGAGGAAGAACCCACCCAUCUUCCUCUUGGCCUUUCUCCUGAGAAUCCUGGCGCUAUCUUGUAGGAUAUUCCAGCUCAUGUAACUGAUGUCACGACAGAUUCUCAAACACUUGUUUUCUCCUGAGGGGCAUGUCUAUAGAACUGAAGACUUCAGACAGCACUGUAUCCCAGUAUGCAUCUCUGCUCACUCAGAGCACACCCCCAUGAGUAGGAUGCAACACUCUAGUGAUGGCGAUGUAGAGUUUUAUAAGUAACGAGGGAGCAGACUAAGGUGAUUAGAACACAAUGUAAUGUCAAGUCUGUAAAUCUUUAAACCAUGAAGAUGGUUGGAUAGUUCAGGAAUCGGUUUCUUUUUAUUAUGGGCAGUCCUUUCACUCAGAUGCCCACUUCUCACUGGAGCUGUAUAUGUGUUGGCUGGCUGGCAUGAUUUGCUGUUGGUGAUGAGGCGGUCAGGGUGACGUUGCAGGGCUAUGGUCGGCUCUCUGUGAGCUCAACGUUUAGAUUUGCUCUGUGUGGUUUGUACCCUGAAUAAUCUAGAUAAUUGUAAAAUGUAGACGCGGUUUUGUAUUGAAUUGACUCCAGGAUUUUAGGUUUAAAGUUGUUGUGGGACGUACAUGGUAGUUUGGUUCUUCGUAUGGUUUUGAGUGAUAUAACUUGUACACACUGGGUGCAUAAUAAUGUAAAGUUACACUGAAUAGUAGUAUUGACCAACAGCAACAAACAGAUCUCCUCAAGGUAAGUCUGUUGGCUGUGUUUUAAUGAAGACCAUCGCUGGACUUCAGGAUCUUCCUCCGUUCAGCUCAAGGUGAGGCGCUGGUUCUGUUUUUUCUUUGGUUGGUUCCGGCCGGAAUGUUCGGAUUCCAGUCGGACGGUUCGUGCUUCCCGCCGUGGAAGGUUCUGAGUGCGGUCACUUGAUUUAGUCCCAAUGGUUAGCAUAGAACGUUGUAGUCUUGACAACCAUAAGAAACCACCUGGCAGUUAGUUGGACAUGAGUCCCCUGAGGGAAUCUGGCGAACGUUCUGGAUUGUAUUUGCGUAACCUCGAGCCGUUGCCAACGGAAACUAUUUUUCAGUCGGUUUCUAUUGGGAAUUGUUGCCCCUAUCUUAAACAACUUAAGUUUGAUAUUAAAUACAUACUGAGACAUACGUCGUACAAUAUAUUGAUAAUUUCCGAUGGUUGCGCCGUACUUUUAACCACGAUGACGUGACGGGACUCUCACUGCGUACAAAACGGCGAUCUACUUGCGGGCCCAUUUUUGACAUCCGGGAAGGCUGAAAAUCAUUUCAAGGUGGAAGAUGAUUUUGACAUUUCUUCAACGGAACCCAGCACCUGAAUAUGGCUGAGUAUGUUUGAUUUAAUAUCGAUACUGCUUGGUGUUCUUUGUUACUUCAGCUUUUGUACGUUCUAAAUAUCUGCUGUCAUUAAUUGCCACAGAAGUUAAACCCUAACCAAUGGAAUGACGUUAAACAACGACUUUGGUGCAGAGUUACCAACUGGAUAAUAUCAAAGCUAAAAUAAUUGCCGUCAUUCCCACAUGUUACAGUAGAAGAUACUCUAGAACUGUACAAGGUUAAAAAUGUAACAUGUAGUUUGUCCCAAGGUGUCUGCCUCCUCACCUAAAGCAAGACCUCCACCUCCUCACCCAGAGCCAGACCUCCACCUCCUGUCAGAAGUCCUCCAGAACAGCUGAAAGGCGAGGCUGAGAGGCUGGGGACCGGAGGCUUGUGGUGCCAGGGUGGACCGGAGACUGAGGCUGGAGACCAGGGGCCUGCAGCACCGGACCAGAGGUGAACCUCAGAUGCAGGAGGCUGGGAUGCGUUUCGUCCCCAGGUGAUUUACUGCUGAGACAACUGUUUGUAACCAGACCAGGAAUCCAUGGCUGAAGGAGCUGAUGGAGGAGUCGUGCUGAAGGCCCUGCCUGGUGGAGGAGCUGGUGGAGGCCCUGCCUGGUGAAGGACGGCUGUCGUGGGACCAGGACUCUGUCUGAGGAGAGCUGCUGGAGGAGCUGAGACGCUGGAGGACGACUAGGAAUCGACCAACAAGGAUUCCUCAACGUGUUUCUGGAGUGGAGGCGAGCUGGUAGGGGAGCCGUGAAUCUGGAGGAUGACCAUCACUCUACCAACAAGGAUUACCAGGACUCUGAUGGAGGAGAGCUGAUGGAGGAGCCAAGACUCUGGAGGACAACAUCCAUCUACCAACCAGGAUCCUCACCAGGAAUCUGGAGGACUGAUGGAGAAGCCGUACAUCUGGAAGGCAAAUCCUGAGGACAACCAGGACGCUACCAUCAAGGAUUCCUUACACACUUCAGCUGAACCUCACCUGAUCCUGUUUGGUCGGGGGUAGACACACCUGAGCUGAACCUCACCUGAUCCUGUUUGGUCAGGGGCAGACACACCUGAGCUGAACCCGCCCUGAUCCUGACAUCCUGCUGGUCCCGUCUCCUCAGUUCAUCUGAGCCUCGUCCACCAGAAGACCUGCUGAGCUCAGCAGUCUGAGGCUGAUGGAUCAAUGACCUCCAGUGGGAGUGAUCUUCUUGCCCCCACAUGUAACCGUGUGCUUCCACACGCCUUUCCCUCACAUCUGUCACUAACCUCACUACUUCACUACUGCUUCCUCUUCUUCUUCCUUUUCUGUGGUUCGAACCUUUACACGGAAGGCGCGUCUUCCUGCCCUCAGAGGGUUCAGCGUUAGGGUUGAGAGUCAGGGUUUAGGGUCAGGGACAGAGCUGGUCAGGGAGGACUGCUUUUACACAAUGCAGAUGCAGGAGGUGGGGUCUGUUGCGUCCCCAGGUGAUUUACUGCUGAGACCAACUGUGUUUGUAACCAGACAAGGAAUCCAUGGCUGAAGGAGCUGAUGGAGGAGCCGUGCUGAUGGAGGAGCCGUGCUGAUGGAGGAGCCGUGCUGAUGGAGGAGCCGUGCUGAUGGAGGAGCUAAAGGAGUCGUGCUGAAGGCCCUGCCUGGUGGAGGAGCUGGUGGAGGCCCUGCCUGGUGAAGGACCUGCCUGACCAGGACUCUGUCGGAGGAGAGCUGAUGGAGGAGCUGAGACACUGGAGGACGACUAGGAAUCGACCAACAAGGAUUCCUCAACGUGUUUCUGGAGCGGAGGCGAGCUGGUAGGGGAGCCGUGAAUCUGGAGGAUGACCAUCACUCUACCAACAAGGAUUACUUUAGGGCCAGACUCGUGCUGUUUGUUCCAGACCAGGACUCUGAUGGAGGAGAGCUGAUGGAGGAGCCAAGACUCUGGAGGAUGACAUCACUCCACCAACCAGGAUCCUCACGAAUUACGUUUGCAAGCAGACCAGGAAUCUGGAGGACUGAUGGAGAAGCCGUACAUCUGGAAGGCAAAUCCUGAGGACCACCAGGACUCUACCGUCAAGGAUCUGGACAUAGUGGACCAGACACACCUGAGCUGAACCUCACCUGAUCCUGUUUGGUCUGGGCAGACACCCCUGAGCUGAACCUCACCUGAUCCUGUUUGGUCGGGGGUAGACACACCCGAGCUAAACCCGCCCUGAUCCUGACAUCCUGCUGGUCCCGUCUCCUCAGUUCAUCUGAGCCUCGUCCUCCAGAAGACCUGCUGAGCUCAGCAGUCUGAGGCUGAUGGAUCAAUGACCUCCAGUGGGAGUGAUCCUCUUGACCCCACAUGUAACUGUGUGCUUCCACACGCCUUUCCCUCACAUCUGUCACUAACCUCACUACUUCACAACUCUCUACUGCUUCCUCUUUUCGUCCUUCUCUGUGGUUCAAACCUUAACACUGAAGGCGCGUCUUCCUGCCCUCGGAGGGUUUAGCGUUAGGGUUGAGAGUCAGGGUUUAGAGUCAGGGACAGAGCUGGUCAGGGAGGACUGCUUUUACACAAACCUCUUCACUUGCUUUCGGAAUGGUGGUGACAUUUUGAAAAGAUUAAAUUUGGGAAACUGUUUUCCUCUGCUUUCCUUUACAAAAUUGUAUUAAACUUCUGUCAAGUGUUUUUGUUUAUACAUUAAAAUCCCACAUUGACUUCUACAUGUUUGAUGUGGUUCAUUUAAUUGUCCUUUAACUUGGUUAAGGUCAAGCUACACUCCUGCAAUUCCAUUUAAUCAUGAUUGGCAUUCAGCAAUGUUCACAUAAUCCAUUUUGUAAAAAU
ensembl:lncRNA